rnacentral:rRNA from 1 species
UACAGAGGUGGCAAGCGUUGUUCGGAAUUACUGGGCGUAAAGGGCGCGUAGGCGGUUCGUCGAGUCCUGUGUGAAAUCCCCCGGCUCAACUGGGGAACUGCACAGGAAACUAGCGGGCUUGAGUUCGGGAGAGGGAAGCGGAAUUCCGGGUGUAGCGGUGAAAUGCGUAGAUAUCCGGAGGAACACCGGUGGCGAAGGCGGCUUCCUGGACCGACACUGACGCUGAGGCGCGAAAGCUAGGGGAGCAAACGGG